AUUGAACGCUGGCGGCAUGCUUUACACAUGCAAGUCGAACGGUAACAGGGUGCUUGCGCCGCUGACGAGUGGCGAACGGGUGAGUAAUGCGUCGGAACGUGCCGAGUAGUGGGGGAUAACGCAGCGAAAGUUGUGCUAAUACCGCAUACGUACUGAGGUAGAAAGUGGGGGACCUUCGGGCCUCACGCUAUUCGAGCGGCCGACGUCUGAUUAGCUGGUAGGGGGGGAAAAGGCUCACCUAGGCAACGAUCAGUAGCGGGUCUGAGAGGAUGAACCGCCACACUGGGACUGAGACACGGCCCAGACUCCUACGGGAGGCAGCAGUGGGGAAUUUUGGACAAUGGGCGGAAGCCUGAUCCAGCCAUGCCGCGUGUCUGAAAAAGGCCUUCGGGUUGUAAAGGACUUUUGUCAGGGAGGAAAUCCCUAGUGCUAAUAACACUGGGGGAUGACAGUACCUGAAGAAUAAGCACCGGCUAACUACGUGCCAGCCGCCGCGGUAA
rnacentral:rRNA from 1 species